rnacentral:sRNA from 12 species
CCCUGACAGCCGCAUUCUGUGGCUGACUUAACCCCGACAGGAGAUUCUUAUG